GAAACGUUCAGAGGAGAACCUCUCUUUAGUGCUUUGGAAGAAGGUGGGGAAAAAGGAUACUUCUUUAAAAAUGGCAAUGGUAUCAGAAUUCCUCAAACAGGCCUGGUUUAUUGAAAAUGAAGAGCAGGAAUACAUUAAAACUGUGAAAGGAUCCAAAGGUGGUCCUGGGUCAGCAGUGAGCCCCUAUCCUACCUUCAAUCCAUCCUCGGAUGUUGCUGCCUUGCAUAACGCUAUAACAGUUAAAGGUGUGGAUGAAGCAACCAUCACUGACAUUCUAACUAAGAGGAACAAUGCACAGCGUCAGCAGAUCAAAGCAGCCUAUCUCCAGGAAAAAGGGAAGCCCCUGGAUGAAGCUCUGAAGAAAGCCCUUUCUGGUCACCUCGAGGAAGUUGUUUUGGCUCUAUUAAAAACUCCAGCCCAGUUUGAUGCUGAUGAACUUCGUGCUGCCAUGAAGGGCCUUGGAACUGAUGAAGACACUCUGGAUGAAAUUUUGGUAUCAAGAACUAACAAAGAAAUCAGAGAAAUUAACAGAGUCUAUAGAGAAGAACUGAAGAGAGAUCUAGCUAAAGAUAUCACCUCAGACACAUCUGGAGAUUAUCAGAAUGCUCUGCUUUCUCUGGCUAAGCAUCUGAGGAUUUUGGCUUGAAUGACGACUUGGCUGAUUCAGAUGCUAGGGCUUUAUAUGAAGCAGGAGAAAGGAGAAAAGGGACAGAUGUGAAUGUGUUCUUUACCAUCCUUACCACCAGAACCUAUCCCCAUCUUCGCCAAGUGUUUCAGAAGUACAGCAAGUACAGUAAUCACGACAUGAACAAAGUCCUGGACCUGGAGGUGAAAGGUGACAUUGAGUAAUGCCUCACGGCUAUCGUGAAGUGUGCCACAAGCAAACCGAUGUUCUUUGCCGAGAAGCUUCAUCAGGCCAUGAAGGGUUCUGGAACUCGUCAUAAGACAUUGAUCAGAAUUAUGGUUUCCCGUUCUGAAAUUGACAUGAAUGACAUCAAAGCAUGCUACCAGAAAUUGUAUGGUGUCUCUCUCUGCCAAGCCAUCCUGGUAUGUUGUGAUUUUCAUAAUGCC